rnacentral:rRNA from 1 species
UACGUAGGGGUCCGAGCGUUGUCCGGAAUUUAUUGGGCGUAAAGAGCUCGUAGGCGGUUUGUCGCGUCUGCCGUGAAAGUCCGGGGCUCAACUCCGGAUCUGCGGUGGGUACGGGCAGACUAGAGUGAUGUAGGGGAGACUGGAAUUCCUGGUGUAGCGGUGAAAUGCGUAGAUAUCGAGAGGAACACCUGCGGCGAAGGCGGGUUGCUGGGCUGACACUGACGCUGAUGCGCGAAAGCUAGGGGAGCGAACGGG